rnacentral:rRNA from 1 species
UACCAGCACCCCGAGUGGUCGGGACGUUUAUUGGGCCUAAAGCAUCCGUAGCCGGUUCUACAAGUCUUCCGUUAAAUCCAGCUGCUUAACAGAUGGGCUGCGGAAGAUACUAUGGAGCUAGGAGGCGGGAGAGGCAAGCGGUACUCGAUGGGUAGGGAUAAAAUCCGUUGAUCCAUUGAAGACCACCAGUGGCGAAGGCGGUUUCCUGGAGCUAACUUGACGCUGAGACGCGAAAGCUGGGGGAGCAAACGGG